GGGCAUGUGGCUCAGUUGGUAGAGCGCUCGCUUAGCAUUUGCAAUUGCGAGAGGUCUUGGGUUCGAUUCCCAACCUGUCCA
rfam:Botryobasidium botryosum FD-172 SS1 unplaced genomic scaffold BOTBOscaffold_95, whole genome shotgun sequence.